rnacentral:rRNA from 1 species
UACGAAGGGGCGUAGCGUUGCUCGGAAUGACUGGGCGUAAAGGGCGCGUAGGCGGAUGGCACAGUCAGAUGUGAAAUUCCCGGGCUUAACCUGGGGGCUGCAUUUGAUACGUGUGAUCUAGAGUGAGGAAGAGGGUCGUGGAAUUCCCAGUGUAGAGGUGAAAUUCGUAGAUAUUGGGAAGAACACCGGUGGCGAAGGCGGCGACCUGGUCCUUGACUGACGCUGAGGCGCGAAAGCGUGGGGGAGCAAACAGG